rnacentral:rRNA from 1 species
ACGGAAGGCAGCAGUGGGGAAUAUUGCACAAUGGGGGAAACCCUGAUGCAGCGACGCCGCGUGAGUGAAGAAGUUAUUCGUAAUGUAAAGCUCUAUCAGCAGGGAAGAAAAUGACGGUACCUGACCAAGAAGCCCCGGCUAACUACGUGCCAGCAGCCGCGGUAAUACGUAGGGGGCAAGCGUUAUCCGGAUUUACUGGGUGUAAAGGGAGCGUAGACGGUCUGGCAAGUCUGAUGUGAAAGGCAGGGGCUCAACUCCUGGACUGCAUUGGAAACUGUCAGUCUUGAGUGUCGGAGAGGUAAGCGGAAUUCCUAGUGUAGCGGUGAAAUGCGUAGAUAUUAGGAGGAACACCAGUGGCGAAGGCGGCUUACUGGACGAUAACUGACGUUGAGGCUCGAAAGCGUGGGGAGCAAACAGGAUUAGAUACCCUGGUA